AUGUAGGGCAACCUGUCCUUAAGUAGAGGUAAAUUACUCUUAAAAAAAAAAACAAACCAAGAUUCCCAGAUAGUUUUCCCUUCAAAUCAAGCAUCUUGU
rnacentral:pre_miRNA from 1 species